UUCAUCUUUAGUUGAGAUUUUCAUCCUAAAUUCUUGAAAUCGGAAACCCCUCCCAUUUUCAACCAUCAAGAAAUCUUACAAUUAAAGGCAAAGGUUCAUAGUAAAAGUGCAAAAUAAUACACAGAACAGAAAUGAAGCUAGAAGGAAACAUCAAUAAAGAUAGAAAAAUCACAGAAUUGAUUCGACCAACUAAGAUUUUCAGAAUUCAACAAGGUGCUAAAGAGUGACUUGAUUCUAUUUCUGUUGGUCUGGGUUAUAUUGAAGAUUAAGUACUAUCCCUUGCAGUUGAACUAAAGGAUAAAAUCCGCCAUCUGCAGUCCGUCCUGUCGUAAAUCCAGAAAUCUCAGUGAAGCAA